CGGAUUAACCAUGAAAUAACCCUGACAACAGAAAUGACAACAAAAUGAACCACCAGGGCUCCUCCCUGGCUAGCCAAGAAAGGAACGUCUUUCCAAUUACCAAGCUCGAUAUCUUAGCCACUGAGUUCCACAUGAAUAUUACCAAGACCAUUACAAAUUUCAAUAUCAUUAACUUCACCAAGUGCCUCUUUGACUCCUUUGACCAAUCCUUCUUCAUUGCCAACCAUCCCAACAAUCUGUUCAUUGUCAUGUACCUAUAGAGGAUUACGUGUGACACUUGGGGUAUUACUGCCUUGGGCCAUAAUUAUUCCUUCUUGAAUCAUUUUUUAUAUUUCCCUUUUCAAAGCACGACAAUCUUCAAGGCUAUGCCAUUGGACAUUGGAAUGGUAUUCACACCUUUUAGCAGGGUCAAAGCUUCUCGCACAUGGGUCUAUAUAAUUUAGAUGAAUAGGUUUAAUCAUGUCGCAAUGCUUUAGUCUCUCAAACAAGAUUGCAUAUGAAUCUCCUAUAGGUGUAAAAUUAUCUUUCAACCUUUAUUCACUUCUACACCCUUGGCCUGAAUGUCGGUUAUAAGGCACUUGAAAAUUUUGUGGAGGCUGGUGAAGCUUUUGCGGUGCUCAUGCUUGCCUUUUGGAGUGACCCAGUGGUUGGACAGAUGGCCAGACGUUGUUCGGAGGAUAAUAUUG
rnacentral:lncRNA from 1 species